ensembl:lncRNA
CUCGUUAGGGACGGCCCGGGGCUCUGACAGUUUGACGUGCGGACUCCGGAUCUGAAUUAGGGACUUAAAUUACACUUUAAAGUACAGUUUGUUACGCGCUUUUCCUUCUCGCCGCACUGUGGGAUUCAUCGAUAAGUUAAGUAAUUGUGCCAAUUCAAACGGGUCGCUUUGCAUCCGACGCGACCGGCGCGAUAGAGCGUCUCCCCUCCGAAGAACGUCCCCGGCCUUAACGGUUUCCAGGGGCCUCCGCUGGGUGCGUCUCCGCUCUGCUUUCCAUCGCCCCAAUUCCGAACAAAAGAAAAAGGGGGGAAAAAAUUAUUUAUUUGUUUAUUUCUUAAGAAAAAUAAGUCUUUUUAAGAUAAUAAGAAAAAUAAGGAACAAACGUGCAGACCUUCACUGCUCAGGGGGGCUACAAACCAAAGUAAAACUAGGGGCCGGCAAAAACAUGGUGCUCCACAGUCUUAAUUUAACAAAACACAGUGGAACCCCCUGAAAUAGCGUGAAAUUCAGAAGCCUGUGGUCGGGCUGAAGCAUCGUGUGCUGGCCGGCAGAUGUUUGGAAAGGUGCUAAGAUGUAACUCUUAUUGUCCAUAGAAUUUGCUGUUAACCACUUGCAAGAUACAAAGUGACGGCCAGCUGGAUGAAUAGGAGAAUGUGUGUGAACACCCGGAACUGACAGACCCGGGACAGUGCAUGUGGCUUGAAGUGGGCACUGAGAGAAAGCUCAGACAAUGUAUAUACAUGCUAUUAACAUUCACAUUAAUUUCCACUGGGACACGACUUAAUUAAGGUGAGCUGUACAAAUUCAUCUCAUUUCCCUUUACGCUCCAUUCCAUACACAAUGUAUGUUACCAGAGAGAUACUGCGCUAUGCUUCACUACUUUAAUCACUGGCCUGUCCCAUUGUAGUUCAGGAACGCAUGCAAGUGUACUGUUCUUAUUAGAGGCACGGUCUGGAGAAGAUGGCCGGGGAGCUGAGCAUCAUUUCUACAUCAGCUGCUGAAGCGCCCACUAACUUUGGAUGUCGCCUAAACCUUCAGAUGGAAUCCUUGCAGGCAUUCCCGUGGGGAUCGGGAAAUUGCAGUAUGCCGGAACUACCGUUGCUGAUGUGGGGCGAGCGCUCUGAAGUGCACUUGGAGAAGAACGCAUUCCAAUCCCGCAUAUAUGAAAAGUUUAAUAUUUUAGACAGCUAGAUGAAAUGCUGGGGUCUUGGUGCAUUUUGCUUUGGCGGUCCAGGCUUUUCAGCAUCUUAGGGAAAUGUUUGGAAAUGAAUUUUAUUUUCACAACUGUGGUACAAUUACAAGGCGGGGAUGUUUCACCCUUCUCACCGAGGUGCCCUUGGUGGUGGUGGUCUGUAAAUGGCUAUAGAACUGACAGAGAAGUCUGCAAGCAUUUUCUUCGGUUCUGAUUUUUAUUCUUAUUUGUUUUAACAGAGAGAUAAAAACCAGCAUUGUGCAUGUCCUUGCUCUGCGGGUUGGGGAUGUAUCGUUGUUGUUGUCGUUGUUUUCCUGGGAAGUAAAACAGGGUAGGAUAUUGGUAAUAAGGGCAAGUGGAUUUAUUGCUGAGCGAGUUGUACGCUGUUUGACAGAAAAUUCCUGAACUGAUCGGUGUUGGUGGAAGUUGGGGCUGCCUCCCGAUGUUUCCUGAGCCUUCUAUUUAGUUUGGAGUUCUGGGAAGUAUUUGUGGGCUUAAUCCAUUUACGCUUUUGAUAGGUAAAUGCAAGCCAUGAGUUACGGUAAAUUAUUGCUAAGAAAAGAUGAAUGGAAGAAUGGAUGUUUCAUUUUACUAUAUAUGCUGGGAAAGGUUGUUCUUUCUUUCAGCGUAUAACUCUGCUUUUCCUCGUACAACCUAUUUACAGGGUCAGACUUAUUAAUUUAUUUAUUUAUUUGUUUCUGUAUUUACUGUAAUUAAAGCCAAAGCAGACAACACUUCUUCAGUCUUCUGCAUUUACUGAGUGCCUUUAGCAAACACGCUGCAAGGCAUAGCCGUUAGAUGAGCAUUUCCAACCAUGGUGUGUAAAUGAGUUAUAAAAUACAAGCAACUCUAUAAAACAAGAAAAUCCUGAGUUAACAAAUAAAUGGUGUCCUUCCUAUAUCACGUAUAAGCUUUUUUCAUCCUUCUCGUAGGGUGGUAUGGUAUCUCGGAGCUCAAAAGGGAUUUUCGCUGUAGGGUCAGAGAUGGAAGGUGUCACAGUGAAGAACUCCUUCAAAU